AGAGUUUGAUCAUGGCUCAGGAUGAACGCUGGCGGCGUGCUUAACACAUGCAAGUCGAACGAUGAAAGCGGGAGCUUGCUCCUGCUGGAUUAGUGGCGAACGGGUGAGUAACACGUGAGUAACCUGCCCUUGACUCUGGGAUAAGCGUUGGAAACGACGUCUAAUACCGGAUACGACCUUCGGAGGCAUCUCCUGGGGGUGGAAAGAAUUUCGGUCAAGGAUGGACUCGCGGCCUAUCAGCUAGUUGGUGAGGUAAUGGCUCACCAAGGCGACGACGGGUAGCCGGCCUGAGAGGGUGACCGGCCACACUGGGACUGAGACACGGCCCAGACUCCUACGGGAGGCAGCAGUGGGGAAUAUUGCACAAUGGGCGCAAGCCUGAUGCAGCAACGCCGCGUGAGGGACGACGGCCUUCGGGUUGUAAACCUCUUUAGUAGGGAAGAAGCGAAAGUGACGGUACCUGCAGAAAAAGCACCGGCUAACUACGUG
rnacentral:rRNA from 1 species